rnacentral:rRNA from 1 species
AUUGAACGCUGGCGGCAGGCCUAACACAUGCAAGUCGAACGAGUGGCGGACGGGUGAGUAAUGUCUGGGAAACUGCCCGAUGGAGGGGGAUAACUCCUGGAAACGGUAGCUAAUACCGCAUACCAUCGGAUGUGCCCAGAUGGGAUUAGCUAGUAGGUGGGGUAACGGCUCACCUAGGCGACGAUCCCUAGCUGGUCUGAGAGGAUGACCAGCCACACUGGAACUGAGACACGGUCCAGACUCCUACGGGAGGCAGCAGUGGGGAAUAUUGGACAAUGGGCGAAAGCCUGAUGCAGCCAUGCCGCGUGUAUGAAGAAGGCCUUCGGGUUGUAAAGUACUUUCAGCGGGGAGGCGUUACUCGCAGAAGAAGCACCGGCUAACUCCGUGCCAGCAGCCGCGGUAAUUC